AUCCCGUGGCAAAACAUCCUGCAGUACAAAGGCUGCGCAUUACUCAUGUGCAGACGUCUCGUGUUCACACCGGUGGUCAAUCGUUCACAGCUCUGUUUUUUUGCCCUUUGAAAGCAUUUCAGUGUUAUAUGUGAGCAGCACUGAAAUGAAACUAAUGGGCGUUUACACUGGCAGAGUCUGUUUUAAUAACUUGGGUUCAAUGACCAGUUCAGUCACCAUUAGGAAUACCUGAGAAGCCUACCAUUGCUGAGGACAACACUCUCAGCUUCUGUUCCUGUUCUCACAUCUGUUUCCUGAAGGUAACAGCAGAACAAUAUUCUCUUGGCUUUUCAUAUCAGAUGCCACUGCUUUUCACAAGAGCUUUGCAUCUAGGCUAUCAGUGGAGGCUAGUGCUGCGAGGUGACUGCUGAUGCUGAAGGAUGAAGCUGAGGAGCCAGUGGCUCCCUGGGCAAACCCCCAGAAUCAUAUCCCAAGUUGGAAGGGACCCAUAAAGAUCAUCAAGUCCAACCUCCUUUCAUAGAAUCAUCGAAUGGCUCUCAAGUCCAACCUCCUUUCAUAGAAUCAUCGAAUGGCUCGGGUUGGAAGGGACCCCAAGUGUCACCAAGUUCCAACCCCCC